rnacentral:rRNA from 1 species
AGUGAACGCUGGCGGUAGGCCUAACAUAUGCAAGUCGAACGGCAGCACAGGAGAGCUUGCUCUCUGGGUGGCGAGUGGCGGACGGGUGAGGAAUACAUCGGAAUCUGCCCAGUCGUGGGGGAUAACGUAGGGAAACUUACGCUAAUACCGCAUACGACCUUCGGGUGAAAGAGGGGGAUCGCAAGACCUCUCGCGAUUGGAUGAGCCGAUGUCGGAUUAGCUAGUUGGCGGGGUAAUGGCCCACCAAGGCGACGAUCCGUAGCUGGUCUGAGAGGAUGAUCAGCCACACUGGAACUGAGACACGGUCCAGACUCCUACGGGAGGCAGCAGUGGGGAAUAUUGGACAAUGGGCGCAAGCCUGAUCCAGCCAUACCGCGUGGGUGAAGAAGGCCUUCGGGUUGUAAAGCCCUUUUGUUGGGAAAGAAAUCUUUCAGGCUAAUACCCUGGGAGGAUGACGGUACCCAAAGAAUAAGCACCGGCUAACUUCGUG